GCCCGGGUGGCUUAGCUGGACAUAGCGCCGCACUCAUAGCAUGCGGAGAUCGUGGGUUCGGAGCCCACCCCGGGCA
rnacentral:tRNA from 7 species